rnacentral:rRNA from 1 species
AAAUGAAUAGACGGGGGCCCGCACAAGCGGUGGAGCAUGUGGUUUAAUUCGAAGCAACGCGAAGAACCUUACCAAGGCUUGACAUGGGAGUGACCGGUACAGAGAUGUAUCUUUCCUACGGGACACUCCACACAGGUGGUGCAUGGUUGUCGUCAGCUCGUGUCGUGAGAUGUUGGGUUAAGUCCCGCAACGAGCGCAACCCUUAUCUUUAGUAGCCAUCGGGUAAAGCCGGGCACACUAGAGAGACUGCCGUGGAUAACACGGAGGAAGGUGGGGAUGACGUCAAAUCAUCAUGCCCCUUAUGUCUUGGGCUACACACGUGCUACAAUGGUUGAUACAAAGUGACGCGAACCCGCGAGGGUAAGCAAACCACAAAAAAACAGCCCCAGUUCGGAUUGUAGGCUGCAACCCGCCUACAUGAAGUUGGAAUCGCUAGUAAUCGCGAAUCAGCAUGUCGCGGUGAAUACGUUCCCGGGCCUUGUACACACCGCCCGU